rnacentral:rRNA from 1 species
AACGAACGCUGGCGGCAUGCCUAACACAUGCAAGUCGAACGAGACCUUCGGGUCUAGUGGCGCACGGGUGCGUACCGCGUGGGAACCUGCCCUUAGGUUCGGAAUAACUCCCCGAAAGGGGUGCUAAUACCGGAUAAUGUCUUCGGACCAAAGAUUUAUCGCCUUUGGAUGGGCCCGCGUUGGAUUAGCUAGUUGGUAGGGUAAAAGCCUCCCAAGGCGACGAUCCAUAGCUGGUCUGAGAGGAUGAUCAGCCACACUGGGACUGAGACACGGCCCAGACUCCUACGGGAGGCAGCAGUGUGGAAUAUUGGACGAUGGGCGAAAGCCUGAUCAAGCAAUGCCGCGUGAGUGAUGAAGGCCUUAGGGUUGUAAAGCUCUUUUACCCGGGAUGAUAAUGACAGUACCGGGAGAAUAAGCUCCGGCUAACUCCGUG